AAUCUUGGAAGCAGCCCGUAUGCCUAUCAACAGAUGAAUGGAUAAAGAAAACGUUACGGUCAGUGAAGAAGGGCUGGCCAUUUGGAGCUAUCCUCAUUUCCUAGCCAGAUAGCAGGAAGCUCAGUGCAACUUUGUGGAACUGCUUCCUAUUGAUCUGAUUAAAACUUUUGAUGAAAAUGAGCUGAAGUUGUGAUAUGCAGCUUCAGUGAUGUUGAUGUGAACAACUGGAGACAGCAUUUUAUUUACAAGAAUGGCUGCUGCCUGAAUGACCCUAUCAUUCACCCUUCUGGAAGGCUGUGCUAUUGACAGUCACCAAGAAGCAGAUCUAGUUACUGCCAGUUUAUCAAGGGGAUAUCCUGUGUACCCAAUAAUGGAUUUGCUGAGCUUUCGUUCCAAUGGUCCUCAGCUGUUUACAGUAGAGUAAUCUGACAUUCCUGAAAAACUGCCGAGAGCUCACACAUGCUUUAAUGGCCUUAUCCAUAUGAAACUUUUGAAGAUUUAUAAGAGAAGCUUCUCAUGGCCGUGGAAAAUGCUCAAGUAUUUGAAGGGGUGGAUUAAGAUCUUCUUCCUCAGGGCCACUGUCCAUCCAGCACAUCCAUCCAUGUGCUCUUCUACAUUAUUAUUAAUUUCAUCAUUUUAUUGUUGUUUUGUUUUUUUGGAACUGGGGAUUGAACUCGGAACUGUGUGCUUGCGCGGCAGGUGCCAGAACCACUGAGCUAAAUCCCCAGCCCAAUUUCAUCAUUUUAAAUGGGCUUAGUUUGUGGCACCCCAAAAUGAUUAUAAUAGUAACAUCAAUAUCAAAAAUCACUGUAACCGACAGUAAUAAUGGAAUUUGAAACAUUGCAAGAAUUUUCAAAAUGUGACACAGAGAAACAAAAUGAGCACACACUGUUGGAAAAGAGAUGUUGAGGCUUGUUUGACGCAAAACUUCAAACUGUAAGACACAAUAUUUGGCUUCCUUGGCUGCAACAUGGACAGUACCAGUAGAAUGGAAGAACCGGUUUCGGCAGAGGUGGUGUCGGUGGCACAGGCUCUUUCUCUCCCAGCAGAGUCUUUUGGCAAUGACCCGGACAUUGAGAUGGCUUGGGCCAUGAGAGCAAUGCAGCAUGCUGAAUUCUAUUACAAACUGAUUUCAUCAGUUGACCCACGGUUCCUGAAACUCACCAAAGUGAAUGAUCAAAUCUACUCUGAAUUCCGGGAACAUUUUGAGAAACUCAAGAUAGAUGUAUUGGACCCAGAAGAACUCAAAUCAGAAUUGGCUAAAGAGAAGUGGAGGCCAUUCUGCUUGAAGUUUGAUGGGAGUGUAGAAGACUUUAACUAUGGUACUUUGCUGCGACUGGAUUGUUCUCAGGGCUACACAGAGGAAAAUACUUCCUUUGCUCCCAGGAUACAAUUUUAUGCCAUUGAAAUUGCUCAGAACCGAGAAGGCUAUAAUAAAGCAAUUUAUAUCAGUGUUCAGGACAAAGGAGGAGCGAAAGGAGCCAAUGAAGGAGAGGCUGGAGGAAAGAAUGGAGCUGACAGUGGAGAAGAAGAGAAAGUAGAGAAAGGAGCAGAUAGCAGAGGAGAAGAGGAGGGAGUCACUAGAGAAGGAGAAAAAGAAAACUGACAAAGGAGAAAAACAGAAAGAAAAUGACAUGCUAACCAAAGCUGUGAAGCAUCUGUGUAAGGUAGACAGGGAGUAGUACUCUGUGGUUUUUUUGUUGUUUUUUUGGUACCAGGGAUCGAACUCGGGUCCUUGCGCUUGCACAGCUAAAUCCCUGGCCCAGGGAGUAGUACCCUGGAGGCUGUGACUCAAAUGAGCCUAUCAGUAGCGCGGUGCUACUUGCCCAGACCCCUUUGGUUAAAUGUAUGUCUUUGUCAGUUGAAGGACACUCUAAGGACAUCUGCCUAGCCUAAUAAUCACAAGCUGCUGUGGUUGUUCCCUUGUAUGAACAGACUUAAAGACUAUUAGUGGCAAGAAAUUGCUCUUAGUUCUUAUGAUCAUCUAUAUAUGUGACUUCUAAAACAUAUGUGAAGUUAUUAGUUCAAGUUUUUUUCAGGUUUAUAAUCUCCCCACCACGUUUUAUGUAAAACGAUUGAUGCAUGUAUCUUAACUCUUGUCACUGUUUGUUGAAGUUUUCUUAACCUCUGAAGUUGUACCUGAUCCUAGGAUUAGAAGUCUUCAUAUAAAAAUUGAUUGCUGCUCUUAAAAAAAACCCCACAAUAUUUGGAUGCACAAUAAAAUGAGGUGUGACUGUAUAUAUACUUUGUUCCUAUUAUUAAAAUUCUUCUAACUGGGUGUGGUGAUGCACACCUGUAAUCCCAACACUCAAGAGGCUACAUAGUGAGUUCAAAAAAAUCUUCUAACUAUAUGAAUGCAUUUAGUAUUUAAACUAAAUAUACCAAAAAAAGUGAAAAAACUAAGUUACCUACAAAAUGGCUCAACUAUCAAUUAUACAAUAUAUUCAU